CCUACGGGAGGCAGCAGUGGGGAAUAUUGCGCAAUGGACGAAAGUCUGACGCAGCGACGCCGCGUGUGGGAUGAAGCUCUUCGGGGUGUAAACCACUGUUGCCCGGGAAGAAACUCCUGAUUCGUCAGGACUGACGGUACCGGGUGAGGAAGCACCGGCUAACUCUGUGCCAGCAGCCGCGGUAAUACAGAGGGUGCGAGCGUUGUCCGGAAUCACUGGGCGUAAAGGGCGCGUAGGUGGCGGGAUAAGUGUGUGGUGAAAGCUCGGGGCUCAACCCCGAGUCUGCCAUGCAGACUGUCUUGCUCGAGCGUAGUAGAGGCAGGUGGAAUUCCGGGUGUAGCGGUGGAAUGCGUAGAGAUCCGGAAGAACACCGGUGGCGAAGGCGGCCUGCUGGGCUACUGCUGACACUGAGGCGCGACAGCGUGGGGAGCAAACAGGAUUAGAUACCCUGGUAGUCCACGCCGUAAACGAUGGGUACUAGGUGUCUGGGGGAACGACCCCCGUGGGUGCCGGCGCUAACGCGNNGAGACCGCCGCGGGAGGACGGCCGGCGAGGCGUUGAACGUACGAAAGGAAGUUAGACGGCGNGAGGACGNGCCGACGGACGACGACGAGGGAGGAGG
rnacentral:rRNA from 1 species